rnacentral:tRNA from 1 species
GGAGACGUGCCGGAGUGGUCGAACGGGCUUGACUCGAAAUCAAGUGUACCCUCUAACGGGUACCGAGGGUUCGAAUCCCUCCGUCUCCG